rnacentral:rRNA from 1 species
AGCAGCCGCGGUAAUUCCAGCUCCAAUAGCGUAUAUUAAAGUUGUUGCAGUUAAAAAGCUCGUAGUUGAAUUUCGGGGUUCUACCGUUGGUCGGGCUUCGUCUGUACUGGCGUGUAGAAUUUCUACCUUCUGGGGAACCAUCAUGUUAUUAAUUUAACGUGGUGGGAAACCAGGACCUUUACCUUGAAAAAAUUAGAGUGUUCAAAGCAGGCUUAUGUCUGAAUACAUUAGCAUGGAAUAAUAAAAUAGGACGAUCGAUCCUAUUUUGUUGGUUUCUAGGAUUGACGUAAUGAUUAAUAGGGAUAGUUGGGGGCAUUAGUAUUCAAUUGUCAGAGGUGAAAUCCUUGGAUGUAU